rnacentral:rRNA from 2 species
AGCCUGGCAACGUCCUACUCUCACAGGGACAAAGUCCCAACUACCAUUGGCGCUAAAGAGCUUAACUUCCGUGUUCGGUAUGGGAACGGGUGUGACCUCUUCGCUAUCGCCACCA